rnacentral:tRNA from 1 species
GCCGGGGUGGCGGAAUUGGUAGACGCAAGGGACUUAAAAUCCCUCGAGGGUAACCUCGUACCGGUUCGAUUCCGGUCCUCGGCA